CAAUUACAUACUAAAUAAAGUCUUAACAAAUAUCCGUGUAACUGUACGUACAAGAAUUUCUAACUUGAUAGUAAUACAAAUUAAAGAUAUUUUAGUUUUACCAGCUUCAGCAAGUGAGAAAUUAAAUUAUAGAAAUUAAUUUGUCAAAAUAAAGGUCGCAGAGUCAUCUACAGUUCUUAGACUAAAGUACUUUCAAAAAUAUAAGGAGGCAACAAAGAAUACAUGCAAGCACUUUUUGUUGUUAACUUCAAACGAAAAAAUCAUGGGUUCAUCUACUAUUUAAUUCGAAAAGGUAAAUCAGGUAAACGUUUCGUUAACUCACUCGCGUAAAAUAUUGUUAUUUCAGCCUAUUUUAAAGAAAAAGCAAAUCAUUAUCUGCAUUGUGCUGACAUCUAACAACCUAACUAAAAAUUUCACAUCAGUUUAAUAAUAACCUUAGAAUUAGAGUUGUCUAUGAUUUAGAGAAUACAGACGGUUAAUUAUGAUCUAUGGUUAUGGUUUACCCUUUGUAGAUCUAUUAUCUAUGAGUUUAGUCAUGGUUUAGUCACAGCAAUUGCAAUAGUUUUGUUGUUUUUGUUCGCAUUAGGUAGUUUUAAGUUUUGGUUCGUCACUCGUUGUUUCAUUUGUUUAGUUUGUCUCAGUUUUUCUAAGUUUUUCAGUUUGUUUGAAGCAGUUGAAUAAUUGGGCGGUUUCUUGAUUUGUGGAGUAAUGUAACCUGUUGCAUUUAUUACUGUAUAAAUUGAGUAAAUAACAAUGUUGGCCAAGUCAUUUUUAAAAAAAGAUGUUAGAAUUAUGAGGGGUGCGUCUCGGCAAUAAUUAUGGGACUGUACAGUUCAAAACAAGAAAACCCUGAACAUCAACAGACCUUUCCAGAGAGUCAUGACAACAUUACUCCAUCAAAACAUCAUGGAAGACAAGCAAGCAUCAGAGCAAAGUCAAAACAACCAAUGCCUGAUCCUAAUGAAUUGGAAAGAAGAUUUACAAAAGUUUUGGUAAGUUAAAAAUUUUGAAUUAAUGAAGAAUAAGUUUAAAUAAUAAAAAAUUGACAUUUCUGUCUGGCUUUAUAACCUAUUAUUAGG
rnacentral:misc_RNA from 1 species